rnacentral:rRNA from 1 species
UACGUAGGGGGCAAGCGUUGUCCGGAGUUACUGGGCGUAAAGCGCACGCAGGCGGUCGAUUAAGUUUGGAGUGACAGUUGGUGGCUUAACUGCCAAAGUGCUUCGAAAACUGAUCGACUUGAGGGCUUCAGAGGGACACGGAAUUCCAGGUGUAGCGGUGAAAUGCGUAGAUAUCUGGAGGAACACCGGUGGCGAAGGCGGCAUCCUGGACCAACACUGACACUGAGGAGCGAAAGCUAGGGGAGCAAACGGG